rnacentral:rRNA from 1 species
UUUAGACCCACGGCGAACGGGUGAGUAAUACCUAGGAAUGUCCUUAUAGUGGAGGAUAACCAGCCGAAAGGUUGGAUAAUACUUCAUGUGAUCGCAAGAUUAAAGUCGCAAGACGCUAUAAGCGCAGCCUGGGCACCAUCAGCUAGUUGGUAAGGUAAUGGCUUACCAAGGCUAUGACGGUUAGGGGCCCCGAGAGGGGAGACCUCCACACUGGAACUGCGACACGGUCCAG